GCUACGGUGGCCGAGUGGUCUAAGGCGGUGGACUUAAGAUAUUUUAAGUUUUCCAUUGGGGCAACCCGCAUGCGUUCGAACCGCAUCCGUAGCA